rnacentral:tRNA from 1 species
UCCUAUAGCUCAGAUGGUAAAGAAUCUGCCUGCAAUGCAGGAGACCCAGGUUCAAUCCCUGGGUCAGGAA